rnacentral:tRNA from 1 species
GGCCGACUAGCUCAGUUGGUUAGAGCGUCGUGCUAAUAUGUACAGGAUAACUGUUUCACAUGUAAUAUUACGCGAAGGUCUUGGGUUCGAUCCCCACGUUGGCCA